GGGAGGCAUAGCACAAAAUAUGCUUAGAGAAUAGAACAUCAUGUGGGCUUUGUGAUAACUGAAUGGAGAUCACGGAAGCAGAGGACCAAACCGAAGAUCAUUGCAGUGGUCCAGAAUACCCACAGAGGUUUUGUACUUUGAAAGGAGAGAGAUCUACCUGGAAUCUGAUGGUGUGGAAUGUCCCUUGGCUCUUGUCUCAGAUGCUGGCAGCCUCCUCAUCUCAGCCCCAGAUGUGGACAUCAGGUAAAAUUGUUUGGAAGAUGUGGAGAAGGAAAACAAAUGUGAUUAAGAAAACCUGUAGUCAACAACUACUGCAGCUCGCGUGCCAAGAACCUGUGCUUCGCAACAAGAUGAGCCACCACAGCAGGAAGCCUGCUCACCACUGCAGAGAGUAGCCUCAGCUCGCUGCAACCAGAGAAAGCCCUCAUGCAGCAAGGAAGGCAGUGAGCCCGAAAAAAGAAAUAAAAAAGAGAAAGCCUGUAGUAGAAAUUCAAUAAUGUUUAUAAUUAUAAAUCAAGGAAGAUGUGUAAGAAUUUUAAACCAAAAUAAGAGAGAGAGAGAAAAUAUUGAAUAUGAUUGUCUUUGGAGACCUUUAAUUGAGGCUGCUGCUGCUGCUAAGUCGCUUCAGUCAUGUCCGACUCUGUACAACCCCAUAGACGGCAGCCAGCCAGGCUCCCCCGUCCCUGGGAUUCUCCAGGCAAGAACAUUGGAGUGGGUUGCCAUUUCCUUCUCCAAUGCGUGAAAGUGAAGUCGCUCAGUCGUGUCCAACUCUUCAUGAUCCCAUGGACCAUAGCCUACCAGGCUCCUCCGUCCAUGGAAUUUUCCAGGCAAGAGUACUGGAGUAGGG
ensembl:lncRNA